GUGUAGUGGAAUAGCAAAGUAGCUAACUCUAGUCAGUCUUAGCUGAACUCAGAAGCUAAAUAGGGUGGUGCUUGUUUAGUACUUGAAUGGGAGACUGCUUGGGAAGACCAGACUCCGUAAGCC
ensembl:rRNA 5S_rRNA 5S ribosomal RNA